AACAAUAACCCAGCUUUAAACAAAAAAAUAAACAAGGUUAACACACAUAGUGAUAAUAUAACAACUUAUGAUAAUAAUAAGAUAUAUAUAAAUAAUCUUGAAAAUGAUGAAUAUAUAAAAAGUGGAUUCCAUACCAUUUGUGAUUUAAAAAACGAAAAGGAUAUAGAACAAAACCAAAUUGUUAAAGCGGUUAAUCAUACAAAUAGUGAUAUUUCUAUAAACACUGCUACAGAUACUAUUAUCAAUAUAUGUAACAAUACUAAGGGUCCUAGUAAUAACGAACAGUCACAAAGCAAUCUCAGUGAUGAUACUAAAAAAAAUAGUUUUUAUACUGAUAAGAAUAAAGAAACAAUUAGUCAUUUUCAAUUAACAAAAUAUGUACAUAAUAAAAAAAAUUAUUUAAAUAAACAUAUAAACAGUAGUUCUUACCAUGAAUAUAACAAUUCCCCUAUAAAUACCCCAAACAACACACAGAUAGAGAAUGACAGUUAUGUAGGUAAUGACAUAGGCUAUAACCGAAAUAAUCAAAACAAUUACGACAAUCACUUUAUGAAUCAAAAUUAUGAUUUUAUUACACCAUAUCAUAAUAAAAAAAUAUAUUAUAAAUCAUAUUUAUCACAAAAAAAUUUAUAUGCACAACAAUCUGUUAAAGCGUUCAAUAAACAUAGAUAUUACGAAAAUUAUAAAUUCAAUCACUUUUAUAACGGUAAUUAUAUAAAUGCAUAUUACAGUAAUAUUACUGACGCCAAUACUUCUAUUAGUAUUAACAACAACAGCAACAAUAACAACAAUAACAACAACAAUAGCUAUAAUUUCCCCUUACCGUAUUAUAAUUACAGUUACAAUGAGUUUGUAUAUUAUUAUUACUAUUUACAGAAUUAUUUUUACAACAGUUUUCAAUUUUUACAUAAUUCAGCUUCUCAUGCUACACAACAUAUGAAUGCAACAAGAACAGGUACAGGUACAGGAACAGGAACAGGUACAGGAACAGGAACAGGUACAGGUACAGGAACAGGAAUAGGUACAGGAACAGGAAUAGGGACAGGUACAGGAACAGGUACAGGAACAGGAAUAGGAACAGGAUUAGGAACAGGAACAGAAACAGGAACAGGAAUAGGAACAGGAACAGGAACAGGAACAGGAAUAGGAACAGGAACAGGAACAGGAACCGGAACAGGAACCGGAACAGGAACAGGAACAGGAAUAGGAACAUCAGCUUCACUAGCAUUACCUAACCAUCCUUGUUACGCAGAAAAAAACGAAAAAGAUUUUUUAUACCCGCAUAAUAUGUAUACUGUUGAAAUGAUGAAAAAUAACAAUAAUGAAAUGUACAUAACUGAUAAUACUAACAUAGACAACACUACUUUAAUAGCACAUGACAUCAUAAACAAAAACGAUAGUGGUACUAACAUUUGUAAUUCUAACCAAGUAAAUACCUAUAAUCAUAAUGACAUACAUACAGGUGAUGAACUGGUAGAAUGGUAUGAUAACAAUCAGUUACCUAUUCCAUAUAUGCAUCCAAAAAAUUAUUAUCAAAAUUCACAGAUAUAUAAUACAUAUGGUAAUUCCAAUUUUAGGUUGAAUAAUGAACUAUCUGAUGGAAUUCGUAUUCCUGGCAAUGUCAACACUAACAAUGGUAGUAAUAGCAACGGCAGUGGCAACUGUAAUGAUUACACAAACAAUAACAAUAAUGAUAAAUGUAUUAUCUCGAUUCAAAAUAACAUACAAAUAAAUAAUA
ensembl:lncRNA